ensembl:lncRNA
UUCCUUACCCGGAGCCAUUUAACCACCCGCACCGCGUUCUCUUUGCCAUUCUUCUCCCUCCCAACGUCUCCCGGCUGCAGCAUUCCUCCCUUCCACCCUCCCAUCCUAUCUCCCCGGUGCCGUUUCUUUCAGCCCCCGCCUCCCAGUUCCACUCCGGCUCCACAGCGUCCCUCCGCCCUCCCGUACCCGAGCCCCCAAGCCCCGCACAUACCCGCAACACUGCCGGCGGCGGACGGGCCCGGGGGUUCCUCACGGAGCGCGGCGGGGCCGAGCAUCGAUGCCAUGACGAACGGACCGGGGAUGAGGCUGCUCCCCCCGCUCUCUGCCGACGAGCCCAACCGCUCCGCUCCACAGCGCAGAACGCGCGUGGGAACAGCAGCCGCCCCGCCCCCGUGAGCCGCGGGGCUGUGAGGCGGCGCCGCCGCCGUUCGUAGCCGUGACCGUAGGCGGUGUCACCGCGGCAGAGGCGGAUGGGCGCGAACCGCCCCCGAAGGCUCUCCGCGCUGUGAGCGUUUCGCUGCCGCUCCUCUCACGUUUCCCGGCCGGCCGUCGGUGGAGCAGAAAACUCCCUCAGAGCGAGCCGUUACAGAGCGCGUUACGAAGCAGCGUCCCUUAUGUGUUCUGGGAGAACGCACCCCAAUGGGACACGGCCAACGCAGUUCUUUUUUAACGUUCUUUAUUGCUACAGCAGAAACAUGGACAGCCACAGCUGAUGGAAGCAGCGGUUGUGCAGGAGUGGGACGUGGUUCCCGACCGCAGGGAGACUGCUACCGUCCCCUGUAGGAUGGGGGCGGUGGCGGUGGCGGUGGCGGUGCCCGGCGGGGCUGGGGGCUUCUGGGCCUUGGGGGCCGCGGCGGGGGCAGCCGAGACGGGGCACUCUUGGGCCUGGGGGGCGGCGAUGUGUUGGGGCUCCGCAGCCCCCGUGCAGGACGUCCUGACACACGUGGAGGCCGCUGGUGCCAAGUCUGUCUGUCCGCAUACUCUGAGUCUUCGUAGGCAGCACACCGGGCUUUGGCAGCUUCAGUGAGGCGCCUGCAGAGACAGGAAGUGCUGAGGGACUGGGAGAGCCCCCCGCUCUCCUUCCUCCCGGCACCACGCAGAGCAGCGCUGGAAUAAAGAGCGUGGUGGGAUGGGGGAGCAACUCACUGGUGUUUCUUCCUCCGCCGCCGGAUGUAAAUGCAGCACACAAUUAUUAUCAGCAGAAUAGGAACAAACACGGCAAUAGCACCUUUCAAGCAGAACAUGGGGAGGUCGUUCACGUGGACCCCAUUCCCAGCUUGUUCACUGUGUGCACCUAAAGGAACAAUGGUGGUCACUGCUGUGCCUUGUGCCUAGCUGACCAUCUCACCAGAGCUCUGACGUUGCCAUGAAAUGUUCCAGGAGGCCACGAAAAUGAAACACAGCAACAGAACCUGUAACCGUCAGGCAUAGAGCUCUGUGCACGGCCUUUACCUGAAGCGCCAGCUACUUGCACGUCCUCUGUGCCUUCACGGGAGAUGGGCAGUGUGUGGCUGCUGCCCUCCUCAAACACAGCCCCGUCCACAGGCUCUCCAUUGAACUCUUGAGAAAGAAGGUAGCAGAGUGGGACUGUAAAGAUCUGCUCUUGCCACGAGGAUGACAUCCUCAAGAGGCUUUACUUCUCCAAAGACAUCAGAAUUUUCUGCAUCUCUACACGGAACGUCAGUUUCCCAAGUCUUCUGGUGCACAGACAGUAAUAUACCCACCAGGCACUUCGUUGUCCUCCGUCACUGCCUUGAGAGCAUGAUAAAACCGCAGCGAAUCUCUUUCUCGUCCCAGUUUCCCU